CAGCCGCGGUAAUACGUAGGGCGCAAGCGUUGUCCGGAAUUAUUGGGCGUAAAGAGCUCGUAGGCGGCUUGUCACGUCGGGUGUGAAAGCCCGGGGCUUAACCCCGGGUCUGCAUUCGAUACGGGCUAGCUAGAGUGUGGUAGGGGAGAUCGGAAUUCCUGGUGUAGCGGUGAAAUGCGCAGAUAUCAGGAGGAACACCGGUGGCGAAGGCGGAUCUCUGGGCCAUUACUGACGCUGAGGAGCGAAAGCGUGGGGAGCGAACAGGAUUAGAUACCC
rnacentral:rRNA from 1 species